AACGAACGCUGGCGGCAUGCCUAACACAUGCCAGUCGAACGAGACCUUCGGGUCUAGUGGCGCACGGGUGCGUAACGCGUGGGAACCUGCCCUUAGGUUCGGAAUAACUCCCCGAAAGGGGUGCUAAUACCGGAUAAUGUCUUCGGACCAAAGAUUUAUCGCCUUUGGAUGGGCCCGCGUUGGAUUAGCUAGUUGGUAGGGUAAAAGCCUACCAAGGCGACGAUCCAUAGCUGGUCUGAGAGGAUGAUCAGCCACACUGGGACUGAGACACGGCCCAGACUCCUACGGGAGGCAGCAGUGGGGAUAUUGGACAAUGGGCGAAAGCCUGAUCCAGCAAUGCCGCGUGAGUGACGAAGGCCUUAGGGUUGUAAAGCUCUUUUACCCGGGAUGAUAAUGACAGUACCGGGAGAAUAAGCUCCGGCUAACUCCGUG
rnacentral:rRNA from 1 species